rnacentral:rRNA from 1 species
UACGUAGGGGGCAAGCGUUGUCCGGAUUUAUUGGGCGUAAAGAGCGUGUAGGCGGCCAGGUAGGUCCGUUGUGAAAACUAGAGGCUUAACCUCUAGACGUCGAUGGAAACCAUCUGGCUAGAGUCCGGAAGAGGAGAGUGGAAUUCCUGGUGUAGCGGUGAAAUGCGCAGAUAUCAAGGAAGAACACCAAUGGCGAAGGCAGCUCUCUGGGACGGUACUGACGCUGAGACGCGAAAGCGUGGGGAGCGAACAGG